GAUGAACGCUGGCGGCGUGCCUAAUACAUGCAAGUCGAGCGAAUGGAUUAAGAGCUUGCUCUUAUGAAGUUAGCGGCGGACGGGUGAGUAACACGUGGGUAACCUGCCCAUAAGACUGGGAUAACUCCGGGAAACCGGGGCUAAUACCGGAUAACAUUUUGAACCGCAUGGUUCGAAAUUGAAAGGCGACUUCGGCUGUCACUUAUGGACGGACCCGCGUCGCAUUAGCUAGUUGGUGAGGUAACGGCUCACCAAGGCAACGAUGCGUAGCCGACCUGAGAGGGGGAUCGGCCACACUGGGACUGAGACACGGCCCAGACUCCUACGGGAGGCAGCAGUAGGGAAUCUUCCGCAAUGGACGAAAGUCUGACGGAGCAACGCCGCGUGAGUGAUGAAGGCUUUCGGGUCGUAAAACUCUGUUGUUAGGGAAGAACAAGUGCUAGUUGAAUAAGCUGGCACCUUGACGGUACCUAACCAGAAAGCCACGGCUAACUACGUGCCAGCCGCCGCGGUAA
rnacentral:rRNA from 1 species